rnacentral:miRNA from 1 species
AGACAAGAUAACCUUGACCA